AGCAGAGGCCGCCACCAAUCAUGUUGUGUUGUGGAAAGUCAUCACUGGCCUUUUAUUUAAUUUUUUUGUGUACGUUAAUCUAAAUUUGAGAAUAAUAAUUUUUGGAUUGGGCUCCUAUGAAGACGAUAUAGUUUUGCCAAGUUUUAAUGAAUUUACUCAACCCAACUGAGAUUUAAAGUGAUCUUUCAAAAGUGAAAUUAAGGUUUACAGAAUAAAGAAGCAAAGCCUGAG